rnacentral:rRNA from 1 species
GCAGUCGAGCGCUACCUUCGGGUGGAGCGGCGGACGGGUUAGUAACGCGUGGGAACGUACCCAGAUCUAAGGAAUAGCCACUGGAAACGGUGAGUAAUACCUUAUACGCCCUUCGGGGGAAAGAUUUAUCGGAUUUGGAUCGGCCCGCGUUAGAUUAGAUAGUUGGUGGGGUAAUGGCCUACCAAGUCUACGAUCUAUAGCUGGUUUUAGAGGAUGAUCAGCAACACUGGGACUGAGACACGGCCCAGACUCCUACGGGAGGCAGCAGUGGGGAAUCUUGGACAAUGGGCGCAAGCCUGAUCCAGCCAUGCCGCGUGAGUGAUGAAGGCCUUAGGGUCGUAAAGCUCUUUCGCCAGAGAUGAUAAUGACAGUAUCUGGUAAAGAAACCCCGGCUAACUCCGUGCCAGCAGCCGCGGUAAUACGGAGGGGGUUAGCGUUGUUCGGAAUUACUGGGCGUAAAGCGUACGUAGGCGGAUUAGUCAGUCAGAGGUGAAAUCCCAGGGCUCAACCCUGGAACUGCCUUUGAUACUGCUAGUCUUGAGUUCGAGAGAGGUGAGUGGAAUUCCAAGUGUAGAGGUGAAAUUCGUAGAUAUUUGGAGGAACACCAGUGGCGAAGGCGGCUCACUGGCUCGAUACUGACGCUGAGGUACGAAAGUGUGGGGAGCAAACAGGAUUAGAUACCCUGGUAGUCCACACCGUA